UGGGGAAUUUUGGACAAUGGGCGAAAGCCUGAUCCAGCAAUGCCGCGUGUGUGAAGAAGGCCUUCGGGUUGUAAAGCACUUUUGUCCGGAAAGAAAUCCUUGGCUCUAAUACAGUCGGGGGAUGACGGUACCGGAAGAAUAAGCACCGGCUAACUACGUGCCAGCAGCCGCGGUAAUACGUAGGGUGCAAGCGUUAAUCGGAAUUACUGGGCGUAAAGCGUGCGCAGGCGGUUUGCUAAGACCGAUGUGAAAUCCCCGGGCUCAACCUGGGAACUGCAUUGGUGACUGGCAGGCUAGAGUAUGGCAGAGGGGGGUAGAAUUCCACGUGUAGCAGUGAAAUGCGUAGAGAUGUGGAGGAAUACCGAUGGCGAAGGCAGCCCCCUGGGCCAAUACUAGACGCUCAUGCACGAAAGCGUGGGGAGCAAACAGGAUUAGAUACCCUGGUAGUCCACGCCCUAAAACGAUGUCAACUAGUUGUUGGGGAUUCAUUUCCUUAGUAACGUAGCUAACGCGUGAAGUUGACCGCCUGGGGAGUACGAUCGCAAGAUUAAAACUCAAAUGAAUUGACGGGGUCAUAGCUGUUUCCU
rnacentral:rRNA from 1 species